UGGAUNUGUAUGAAGCCCUUAGAUGAUGUA
rnacentral:piRNA from 1 species